rnacentral:rRNA from 1 species
UACGUAGGGUGCGAGCGUUGUCCGGAAUUACUGGGCGUAAAGAGCUCGUAGGUGGUUUGUCGCGUUGUUCGUGAAAACCUGAGGCUUAACCUUGGGCGUGCGGGCGAUACGGGCAGACUGGAGUACUGCAGGGGAGACUGGAAUUCCUGGUGUAGCGGUGGAAUGCGCAGAUAUCAGGAGGAACACCGGUAGCGAAGGCGGGUCUCUGGGCAGUAACUGACGCUGAGGAGCGAAAGCGUGGGGAGCGAACAGG